GACGAGGCGAUUAUCGACGGAGUUCAAAGUUCUUGAAUCGAGAUUAACGCUUUGCUUGAUUAGAGUAAAUGGAUAGCAAGUGGGAUGGUAUGAUAUGAUUUGAAGAGUUAAGCUUCCGAAGUUUUAAUUCUCGGAAGUCAUUUGUAUAAGAAGAAAAAGAAGG